rnacentral:rRNA from 1 species
GAGUUUGAUCCUGGCUCAGAACGAACGCUGGCGGCGUGCCUAACACAUGCAAGUCGAACGUGAUCCAGAGCUUGCUCUGGUGAAAGUGGCGCACGGGUGAGUAACGCGUGGAUAACCUACCCUGGUAUCCGGGAUAACAUUCCGAAAGGGGUGCUAAUACCGGAUAAGCCCACGGGCUCUUUGGAGCUUGCGGGAAAAGGUGGCCUCUAUUUAUAAGCUUCUGUAUCAGGAUGGGUCCGCGUACCAUUAGCUAGUUGGCGGUGUAACGGACCACCAAGGCGACGAUGGUUAGCUGGUCUGAGAGGAUGAUCAGCCACACUGGAACUGAGACACGGUCCAGACUCCUACGGGAGGCAGCAGUGGGGAAUUUUGCGCAAUGGGGGAAACCCUGACGCAGCAACGCCGCGUGAGUGAUGAAGGCCUUUGGGUCGUAAAGCUCUGUCAGAGGGGAAGAAAUGAUAUAGUGCUAAUACCACUUUAUCUUGACGGUACCCUCAAAGGAAGCACCGGCUAACUCCGUGCCAGCAGCCGCGGUAAUAC